rnacentral:rRNA from 1 species
GUGCCAGCAGCCGCGGUAAUACGUAGGGGGCAAGCGUUGUCCGGAAUUAUUGGGCGUAAAGCGCGCGCAGGCGGCUGUUUAAGUCGGGUGUCUAAGAUCGGAGCUCAACUCCGAGUCGCAUCCGAAACUGGGCAGCUUGAGUGUAGGAGAGGAAAGUGGAAUUCCACGUGUAGCGGUGAAAUGCGUAGAGAUGUGGAGGAACACCAGUGGCGAAGGCGACUUUCUGGCCUAUAACUGACGCUGAGGCGCGAAAGCGUGGGGAGCAAACAGGAUUAGAUACCCUGGUAGUCC